ACAAAGCCUGCCGCUUCACUGCAGUGUGAAAGCGGCUUCCUCUUGGGAUACAGGAAAAGUAUUCUGGUUCUGAAUGGGAACAAAAUGUGGCCUGUAGACAAUUUUAAUUUUAUUUGGGGCCCCGACAUUCAAAGGCUGCAGACUAGUCUCUGGACUUCUCCCCUGUGAUUUCCUGACUGGAACUGAGAGUCUGGUUCAGAGGAGGACAGCAAGUUUCAGGGACUGGGAGCUGCCUGCAGAGAUGGACAAGCAGGCUCUGAAGCAAUUCCCCAGAGCCUCACCAUUCCUGUUUACUGCUGACCCUGCCUAUUAGGAGCAAAUUACUUCCGGUGCUGCCUGUGGAGCGUGGCCAUGAGAACCAGGGCAGGGAUGGAAACAGGUGCUGUGAGGUCCAUAGGGAGGCUGUCAGGACUCCCCAGAAGGCAGGAAAUGAAUUCAGUGGCCUUUGAGGAUGUGGCUUUGAACUUUACACAGGAGGAGUGGGCUCUGCUGGAUCCUUCCCAGAAAAAUCUCUACAGAGACGUGAUGCAGGAAAUCCUUAGCAACCUGGAUUCUAGACAAGGCCUCCAUAAGUUGCUGAGGCUGGCUUCGAACUUCAGAUCCUUCUUCCUCAGCCUCCCAAGCUGCUGGGAUUACAGGAGACAAAUGGGAAAAUCAGAACACAAAUCCCAGGAGAGAUCUAAGAUGCCAGAAGAGCCUGAGGCCCUUCAGCCACGCUUAUUCUGGAGGCAGAAAAAAAUGGAGCCCAAACCUGGAGCCUGAAAGUUCUCUCCGACACAUAGCCCAGGCCAAGAACAAGAUACUGCUGAUUCCUUUUAGAAAAGAAGCUGCACUGAAGAACUGAAGAUUUUAUUCAUCUUCUAGACUUGCCAAAUCUAAUAUCUGAAAAAUAAGUCUUACCAUUUUCAUUUUAUAGAAAAGAAACUUCUAUAUAUCAUUAGCAUGUCAGUUAUGCUAGAACAAAUCUCUGCUUUAAAAAAUUAAUAGUUCCCCAUUUCUCACUAAUAAGCUUAGGCUUAUUAAUCUGCGAGGAUUGCCAUAACAAAACACCACAAUACUGGUGGCUUAAACAACAAGAAUUCAUUUUCUGUCAUGGUUAUGGAGGCUAGAAAUCCUAGAUCAAUGUGAAGCCAGUUAAGUUUCUCCUCAGGGGUCUCUCCCUGGUUUGCUGAUGGCCUUUUCCCUGUGUGGUGCAUCUAUUGUGCCUCUUCCUUAAUUUGUUUGUUUGUUUGUUUUGUUUUGUUGUUGGUGGUGGUGAUGGUGGAGAUGGAGGUGGUACUGGAUAUUGAACCCAGGGCCUCACAUGUGCUAAGCACAUGCUCUACCACAAGACUAAAGCCUCAUCCUUAUGACCUCAUUUUAACUUAAUUACCUUAAAAAAAAAAAAAACUUUUUUAAGAAAGAAGAUUUUUAAAGUUCACAGCAGAAUUGAGAGGAAGGUACAAAGAUUAUGCCUAAAUAUAGUCAUAGUGAAGGUUAGGGCUUCAACAUAGAAAUGCAGGGACACAAUUCCAUUCACAACAGAGACUGAUUAUGACUAUACUCUUUUUUUAACCUUUUAUUUUAUUUGUGCAUAAUGAAGGGAUUCACUGUGAUAUAUUCAUGCAUGUACAAUACAAAAUUUGUUCUAUUUAAUCCCCCCAUGUCCCCCUCUCCCUUUCCACCUCCCUCCCCAUGGCUAUAAUCUUAACUGGGCUUCUUGAUACCCUCCCCACUGAACUGAGCUGAGAAAGGGAGGGCAAAGAGCAAGAGCCAGAGAGAGGCAGAUACAAGUUAAAUAAGCUGCUAAAACCUCCCUGCCCAAACCUGAACUUCUCCUUGAAGAAAGAAAGUAGCCAUGUCAUACCAACAAUGGUUGUCAAGCCUGGCUGAUUUUUUGAGAAUCACCUGCAGUAGCUGUACAGACUUUUCAAUGCCUGGGUCCCAACCAGAGUUUUAGAAUUAACUGGUUCUAGGAAAAAUAUGGGCUUAUGAUUUUAUUCUUUUUUUGAGAUGUGUUUCACAUGCUAUACAAUUCACCUUUUUGAAGUGAAUAAUUCAGUGAUUUUAGUAUACUCACAAAAUUGUGCAACCAUCACCACUAAUUCCAGAAUAUUUUGAUCACCCCAAAAAGAAACCCCAGGCCCAUUAUGCAUUGCUCCCAUUGCCCCUUGCAAUGUACUCCCAGUGCCUGGCAAGCACCCAUCCACUCUCUUCCUCUAGGUAAAUGCCUAUGCUAUUCCAGAUAUUUCACAUAAAUGGAAUCAUAUAACAUGUGGCUUUUGUGUCUGGAUUUCUUCAUGGGCUUGUGUAUUUUUAGCAAAUCUAUAGUUGUGCUGCCAGGGUCCCUUUAGGAAGUCCAGCCAGGUGGCAGGGGCCUGUAAUCCUAGCCAUUUGGGAGGCUGAAGCAGGAGGCUCACCAGUUCAAAGCUAGCAUGGUCAAUUUAGCAAGACCCUGUCUCAAAAUAAAAAUUUUAAAAAGGCUGAAGGUGUAGUAGCUCAGUGGUACAGUAUCCCCAGGCUUAAUCCCCAGGACGAAAAAAAAAAAAAAGUCCCUUCAUGGAAACAGAGAAUUUCAAGUGGAAUGGGCGAAGCCUCACAGGACUUGGGUUAGCCCACAGCUAAAAGAUUCCUAGGAGAUUCAGCUGAAAAAGCUGGGAAGGGCUCUGAAUGGCCCAGCUGGGCCACAUGCUCACACCUUGGCCAAUCAGGGUAGUCAAAGAAUAAUCACCUUCACUCCUUUGGACUCUAAGAAAAAUGAAGAUUUUAAGUAGAGAAGAACAUAAUCAAAUUUAGAAACCUCUACUUGUCCAGGGAGUUUAAGGUUCUAAGAAAACCAGUUAACCUUAAAGGCAGGCAUAUUAAGUGUCUAUUCUAAUGAUGUUACUUAAAAAAAAAAUCUGCUAACAUAUAGGAAAUACAGAAAACUGAAGUCCUUGUUAAAUGAUAUACCACAGGGACAAAACCCAGCUCUGUGGAAAACUAUUAACAGCACAUUUGUUUGCUUUUCUCUCAGCAAAUAAAUUGCAAGGAAAAGAACUAUAAAAGGGAUAAGGAGAAACCAUGGAUUAAGAAGCAUUUGGGGCUGAGGUUGUGGCUCAGUGGUAGGGCACCUGCCUAGCACAUGUGAGGCACUGGGUUCGAUCCUCAGCACCAUAUAAAAAUAAAUAAAUAAAAUAAAGAAGAAGAAGAAGAAACAUUUAAAGGCACAGCAACCAAUCACAAACUAUGGAAUUUAGAUUUUUUUAUAUACUUGUGACAUUUGUGAGAGAAUCAGAAAUAUAGAUAUUAGUAUUUAAUGAUAUUAAAGAAUUAUUGUUCUUUUAGUUAUCAUAAUAGCAUUAUAUGAUAUUUAUAAAUAAAAUGAUAGGGUACAUGGGAUUUGCUUCAAAAUAUUACAUAAGAGCAGGGUGGAUUGGGAUAGGAGUGGGAUAGGUCUGGCCUGGGUUGCUGGUUAUUGGGGCGGGGGGGAAUAGGAAUACUAUAUAAUACUCUGUCUUCUUUAAUGUUGUUCAAAGUUCGGCAUGAUAAAAAAAUAAAAAGGUACAAAAUCAUAUAUUUAUAUUGAAACAGUCCUGCCAACACUUUUGUAAAUAGUAGUUUGAGUCUAUGUAUGUUGGAAGCUGUGUAUGAACUAUGGAUUUUUUUGAGCCAGUAAUUCAGGGAAGCUGCAUUUCUGGAAACUCCUGGGUGAAAUUCCCUGGUUAGAGAAAGAUCAUACUGGCGCCCUGCCUUAGCUCACAGCCCUAGGUAAAAUGCAGCCAUGAUUUGGGUAUAACCUGUCAAGCACCAAACAACCUGUUUUCCCUACUCUCAUCUUGUUUUCCUAGAGAAGCUCCUUACUGAUUUCCUUUGGUGUGUACCGCUAUUCGUGCUAUUCUCUCUUAAAAAAUUUAUAAAAAAGAAAAAAUAAAGCAUUCGCCAGUCCACACCUCUGCAGUUACCCACUCCAUCCCCACACAGGAUGUGGGCAGAAUGUGUAUACAUAAAAUUACUAAAACUUCAUUUCUUUCUUUUUUUUUUUUUUUUUUGUACCAGGGAUUGAACCCUGGGGACACCUGACCACUAAACCACAUCCCCAGCCCUGUUUUGUAUUUUAUUUAGAAACAAGUUCUCACUGAGUUGCUUAGCACCUCGCUUUGCUGAGACUGGCUUUGAAAUCAUGAUCCUCCUGUCUCAGCCUCUGGGAUUAUAAGCGUGCACCACUGCGCCCAGCUCCCUAAAUUUCUUUUUAAAAGGAGGAAGGAAAAGAACACUCUGCGUCCCAUGGGCAACUGGAUUGGGGGGUUGGAAAACUGAAGGUUGGGAGCCAAGUUAGGAGGCUGUUUAGAUGAUCCCAGGAAAGAUGACAGUAUCAGGAGGGGAAGAGAAAAGAUAAAGAGAUACUUAGUGGAACACUGGGAACCGGAGUGGCUCACCCUGUCGUCCCAGUGACUCAGGAGGCUGAGGCAGAAGGAUCAUAAGUUCAAGGUUAGCCUUGGCAAUUUAGGGAGAUCUCGUCUCAAAAUAAAAUUAGAUAAAUAAUUUUUAAAAAGCAAAGCACAAGAAAGUAGAACACUGGGUUUAUGACACAUGAGGAAAUUAUCAUCAAGUCUUUUAUGUUUGGUGCUUGGGUGUGAAGAGUGAGAGGGAUAGGCACUGGGUAUGGCUAGAGCAGGUGGGUGGUGCCAUCUGUUGAAAUAAGGAAUAUCGGGAGAGGAGAACAUUUGAGGGGGAAGGUGGUGAUUUCAACUGAGCAUACUGUGACUUUGAGGUGCCUGUGGGACAUCUAGGUAGACCUGGACAGUUGGUUAAAAGGUCUGGGAGGCUAGGUGCCCUGGCACAUGCCUAUAAUCCCAGUGGCUGGGGAAGCUGAGAGAGGAGGAUCGAAAGUUCAAGGCCAGUCUCAGCAACACAGCAAGUCCCUAAGCAACCCUGUCUCAAAGUUAAAAAA